UGGAACAAUCCUUGAAGCUCAGGAGGGAUAGCGCCUCGGUACCAGUUAGGCGCUAUCUAUCCUGAGCUCCACGGUUUGUUCUU
rnacentral:pre_miRNA from 1 species